rnacentral:tRNA from 1 species
GGGCUAUAGCUCAGCAAGGUAGAGCACCUCGUUUACACUUACCGAGAAGGUCUACGGUUCGAGCCCGUAUAGCCCUA